UUCCCAGACUCCUACGGGAGGCAGCAGUGGGGGAUAUUGCACAAUGGGGGGAACCCUGAUGCAGCGACGCCGCGUGGGUGAAGGAGCACCUCGGUGCGUAAAGCCCUAUCGGCAGGGAAGAAACAGACGGUACCUGACUAAGAAGCCCCGGCUAACUACGUGCCAGCAGCCGCGGUAAUACGUAGGGGGCAAGCGUUAUCCGGAUUUACUGGGUGUAAAGGGGGCGCAGACGGCGAUGCAAGCCAGGAGUGAAAGCCCAUGGCCCGACCGUGGGACUGCUCUGGAAACUGUGCGGCUUGAGUGCGGGAGGGGCAGGCGGAAUUCCUAGUGUAGCGGUGAAAUGCGUAGAUAUUAGGAGGAACACCGGCGGCGAAGGCGGCCUGCUGGACCGUAACUGACGUUGAGGCUCGAAAGCGUGGGGAGCAAACAGGAUUAGAUACCCGUGUAC
rnacentral:rRNA from 1 species